CGCGGCCUAUCAGCUUGUUGGUAAGGUAAUGGCUUACCAAGGCAAUGACGGGUAGCUGGUCUGAGAGGAUGAUCAGCCACAGUGGAACUGAGACACGGUCCACACUCCUACGGGAGGCAGCAGUGAGGAAUUUUGCACAAUGGACGAAAGUCUGAUGCAGCAACGCCGCGUGAAGGAUGAAGAUCUUAGGAUUGUAAACUUCUUUUAUAAGGGAUGAGGUAUGACAGUACCUUAUGAAUAAGCACCGGCUAAAUACGUGCCAGCAGCCGCGGUAAUACGUAUGGUGCAAGCGUUAUCCGGAUUUAUUGGGCGUAAAGAGUUCGUAGGUGGUAUGUUAAGUUGGAGAUGAAAGAUCUGGGCUCAACCCAGGGAACGUUUCCAAAACUAACAAACUAGAGGAAGGAAGAGGCAAGCGGAACUUGUGGUGUAGGGGUAAAAUCCGUAGAUAUCACAGGGAACGCCAAAAGCGAAAGCAGCUUGCUGGUUCUCUCCUGACACUGAGGAACGAAAGCGUGGGUAGCGAACGGGAUUAGAUACCCCGGUAGUCCACGCCGUAAACGAUGGGUACUAGAUAUUAGUUGUAUCGACCCAACUAGUGUCGUAGCUAACGCGUUAAGUACCCCGCCUGGGGAGUACGG
rnacentral:rRNA from 1 species